CUGGGACAUUAGAAGACUUAGUCCUUUUUACCACAGCUUGAACCAUGGAUCAAGCAGUGCCUGACCCCCAAGGGGGUAUUGGUAUUAAGGUUAUCCCCCCUCUUGAUAUAUGCAUCUUUUUACUAUUUAUGUGGCAGAAGAUGCUAUUAUCCCGAAAGUUAAUGUUCAGAUUCUAAGUCUUAGAGUAAAAAGAAAGAAGUAUUUCCGGCCUUGAUGAGCAUGAGGGGUCCACCAUAUAAAACUUUGUUUUGCCUGUUCUUAGGCUUACUUCUCAACAUGCCUGUGAAUCCAGAAACUUAUUCAUCAAAUAAUUAUUUAGUUGAAAUGUGUCAGUCUCUUCCACAAGUGUUGGUCGAAUUGAGCUGGUCUUUGAGAGAUGUUUUGGGUAAUAAUUUCGUUUUGACAAUUUAGCUCAAACUUUCUUUAAUGAAGCAUUUUGUUGUCCACAUAGGAAUGCUACUUUCCCAAACUCUGAUUUGCUUUGUUUUGAAAUAACUAUCAUAAACACCAUUAGUAGAGAAUAAAAAGAAUUUGCAUCAUC